AAGAACUGAUCAGUACAGGUAGAAGAGGUGAUGUGGUCUCAUAGUAAGAACUGAUCAGGGAGAAGAGGUGAUGUGGUCUCAUAGUAAGAACAGAUCAGUACAGAUAGAAGAUGUGAUGUGGUCUCAUAAGAACAGAUCAGUACAGUGAGAAGAGGUGAUGUGGUCUCAUAGUAAGAACUGAUCAUUACAGGGAGAAGAGGUUAUGUUGUCUCAUAGUAAGAACUGAUCAGGGAGAAGAGGUGAUGUGGUCUCAUAGUAAGAAUUGAUCAGUACAGAAAGAAGAUGUGAUGUGGUGUCAUAAGAACAGAUAAGAAAAGUAAGAAGAGGUGAUGUGGUCUCAUAGUAAGAACUGAUCAGGGAGAAGAGAUGAUGUGGUCUCAUAGUAGGAACAGAUCAGUACAGAUAGAAGAUGUGAUGUGGUCUCAUAAGAACAGAUAAGUACAGUGAGAAGAGGUGAUGUGGUCUCAUAGUAAGAACUGAUCAUUACAGGGAGAAGAGGUUAUGUUGUCUCAUAGUAAGAACUGAUCAGGGAGAAGAGGUGAUGUGGUCUCAUAGUAAGAACUGAUCAGGGAGAAGAGGUGAUGUGGUCUCAUAGUAAGAACUGAUCAGGGAGAAGAGGUGAUGUGGUCUCAUAGAAGGAACAGAUCAGUACUGGGAGAAGAGGGGAUGUGGUCUCAUAGUAAGAACUGAUCAGUACAGUGAGAAGAGGUGAU